rnacentral:rRNA from 1 species
GACGAACCGAGCGAACGUUGUUCGGAAUCACUGGGCUUAAAGGGCGCGUAGGCGGGUGCUCAAGUCCGUGGUGAAAUCCUCCGGCUCAACUGGGGAACUGCACAGGAAACUAGCGGGCUUGAGUUCGGGAGAGGGAAGCGGAAUUCCGGGUGUAGCGGUGAAAUGCGUAGAUAUCGGGAGGAACACCGGUGGCGAAGGCGGCCCCCUGGUUGGAUACUGACGCUGAGACGCGAAAGCGUGGGAGCAAACAGG